UUAAGCUUCCAUUCUUUUGGUGUAGCCGUGUCCAUGAAACCAAAAGCGAGGACUUCAUUUUUUCUUUCUUGCUGAUCAUGAGACUGCUUUUCAUAUUGCAGACACAAUUUUGAAGAAAAGCAUCGCAGAUGCCAUUUGAACCAUCACUUGCCAGAGGUAGUCAUUUUGCCUUCGGGGACACUUUUCUGAUGAUGACUUUGGUGCAGGCAGCGUAACAUCUUGGCUUUGGUGCUGCACAAAGAUUCCUCCAGAGCAGUUUCUUCACUUUGUGAGCCCAAGAACUUUACAGACUCGUAGUUGGUGUGAACUGGCAGCCCCAGGCCUUCACCUGACACUUGUUUUUGCCACCCAUAUGCAGGACGCACCGCGAUACAGGCAUCAAAAACAAGUGUAGUGCACCCUCUAGUUUGGACCUUGCUUCCGCCACCCAUACGCAGGACGCACCGCAGUAUAGGCAUCGAAAGAAGGCCGAAAAACCCAGGCAAAUGGAGGUGCAUUUGGUUGUUUUGUUUUCUGAUUUUGGUGGGCGACAAUGGGGGAUUUGAGGCUUUGUCAGUUGUGAUGGUGUUGUUGGCAUAUUUGGCCGGAGUGGUUUGUUUGGGGAAUGGAGGGACUGUUUCUGGUGCUUAGAAGUAGAGGCAAGUCUGCACUCACGAAGACUUCAGCAACGAUGAAAGGAAAUAGUAGGAAAAGACCAUGGAAUCAGCAAGAUACCUGACUUUAAAGCUCCUCGUCGGGUCAUCGUCUCCAGCCUUGUGCUCUUUAUAUAGGAGGUAGUGAAGACUCUAGAGGGCUGGAUAAGCCUUCAUUUGAAAUUCAAAUUUCGCGAAGCUCACGAAGAUAAGCUGACUAGAGACCUCAUCUUUGACACCGAGAUUGAACUCGGACGCACUCUGUUACUUCAUUCUUAUCUCAAAUUGAGAUAUUUGAUUCAAAAUUUGAAUGCCGCCCUUUUGUUUCUGUUUUGCAGUUUUUCACGUUGAAACUAGGUCAACAUUCAACUUGUUUUGAAUUUGAGAAAGAGAUAAUUUGUAAUUAAAGCAUCUGUUUAAUUGCU
rnacentral:lncRNA from 1 species